rnacentral:rRNA from 1 species
ACGCUCGACACCUACGGGGGCAGCAGUGGGGAAUAUUGCACAAUGGGGGAAACCCUGAUGCAGCAACGCCGCGUGAAGGAAGACGGUUUUCGGAUUGUAAACUUCUGUUCUUAGUGAAGAUAGUGACGGUAGCUAAGGAGCAAGCCACGGCUAACUACGUGCCUGCAGCCGCGGUAAUCUGAGCGGGCUGGCAAGGC